rnacentral:misc_RNA from 1 species
GAUGAAGAACGUAGCGAAAUGCGAUACUUGGUGUGAAUUGCAGAAUCCCGUGAACCAUCGAGUCUUUGAACGCACAUUGCGCCCCCUGGUAUUCCGGGGGGCAUGCCUGUCCGAGCGUCAUUGCUGCCCUCAAGCACGGCUUGUGUGUUGGGCCUCCGCCCCCCGGCUCCCGGGGGGCGGGCCCGAAAGGCAGCGGCGGCACCGCGUCCGGUCCUCGAGCGUAUGGGGCUUCGUCACCCGCUCCGUAGGCCCGGCCGGCGCCCGCCGGCGACCCCCCUCAAUCUUUCCAGGUUGACCUCGGAUCAGGUAGGGAUACCCGCUGAACUUAAGCAUAUCAAUAAGCGGAGGA